CGAUAUCAAUCUGCAAAUUCAUUACUCUUUAAAUUACAUUACAAUUUACAAUAACAUGCCAUCCACUCUUCAUAAACAUUCAAAGCAAUGCAAAAAAUCGUACAAUCAAAAACCCAUUAUCAACACGACAAGUCCAAAGUGUUUCGUUUCCACAAAACCAUAAUACAUAAUUGUGCCCCACUGGCUAUGCAUUACAUUCCGAUAUUCACAUUCACCUUUAAUAAGCCGGUACAACCAUUGGAUACGACGAUGUUAUAAGCUCCCAGUAUAAAGACAACGGUCACCUGAUUUCACUACAGCAGCAGAAUGAGAGCAAUUCUAUGUGGGUUCAAGGGCUUGGUUCGCGGACAACGUCAGUUCCUCCCAGCGUGCAUUACAUAGUGGAUUUUGGCAAAAGUCGGCAGCUAUCACAACAUUUUGCUGCACCUCAUGAUAUCCUACCAUUCUUAGAGUGGAAUUUCUAUGGAACAUCAGCAGCAGCUCCCAUGUUUUAGCACAACUUACCUGACAAUCAAAAAGGGGUUCAACAUUAGCUACAGCAAUAACAGAACAAACACCGGGAAAUUCGUUAAUGGUAACCUAAUCUGACUAACAAAGCCAAUUAAUAAUCCAAUUUCCAACACCAACUUCAUCAGAUUCACAUUCAACUAAUCACAAUUAAAUCAUGCCAUAAUUCAUUCACUAAACCAUCAUUGAUAAUAGCUUACAAUACAUGCAUAAGUAGCCAAUGCAAAGCUAAUAACCAACCCUAUUUUGAAGCUCAUGGGAAUUCCACAUUCAAUACAAACUACCUAUUUCCAUCUAGUCAAGCAUCCAUACAUCACUGUAAUACAAGCCUUAUGCGUUUUAACUUCUUAGAAUCAAAUGUGCAUAAUUGUUUUCUAAUAGCUCUAACUGAACCUAGUUUCAUAUCAUUAACAUAACUUGUAAUUAUUAGCAUUAACAGUUUCACAUCUAUUUAACAAAAAUAAUCCAUAUUUGAUUGGUUAGAGCAUGACGGUUUCGGUUAUCUUGAUUAACACUAAGGGAUGGAUGUAACUUCAUUUCAUAAAUCAAGUUAAGCAAAUUAUGGCUAACAAGAAAACUUGACAGGAAGUAUCCAAAUUGUUUGAACCCACCAGCAUGCUGCUAAUACUCCAAUCCUGCAACAAACAAUUUUUGAGUUCUAUAAGCCAACAGGAUAAACCACACUGCAAACUGAAAAAACUAACAUUUUAACUACAGAACUUCAUAAAGCCAGUAAUAGCUAACUGAUUUCCUCAUGAAAAUCUAACAGAAACACUAACAACAGAACUUAAUCCUACAAACUGAAAAAACUAACAGAAAUACCAACAGAACUUCACAAAGCUAGUAAUAGCUAACUGAUUUAUAAUGAAGAACUGCCCGAUUCGGUUACACUUCUCUUCUAUAUAAAUCACUCAUUGCCAUUCUCUGAGCAUUUUUUGAUCAUUCUCUUCCAAUCUUCUUCUUCUUCACACCAAUCUUCAACAUUCGAUUUUCUUCACUCUUGCAAGCAGUUCUUCAUUCUCGAUCUCAAACCCCCUGCACAUCAAACACACGCACGGAAUGCAUCAAUCACGCAAAUAGAAAUACACCAAAUCGAAAUCCAAAAGAAGUUUCUGAAGACAUAGCAAAUACGCAUUGAUUCACAAUGCACAUCGCAGUGAAGGAGGAGAGUUCGCAGACGAGGAAAGAAAUGGCGCAUAUGUGAACAUACAACAAUAAUGAGCUGAAACUCCAUAGCCAAAGGAAUAGAAAAGCUUGGAGAAAAGUUGUAUGUGAUCAAAGAUGAAAAAGUGAUUCUCAAUCUCACUUGUUACAAUAUAGAGGACAACUAAUAUAGCUAAACGAAUUAGUUAGAUCCUAACUAAUCUUCUCAACAACUUCUAACUAACUUCUAAAGUUAGUUAUUACAAAGAAAAAACAGAAUUUACUGUUUUAUUAUUUUCAUCAUCAUUUACAGCCCCCCUCAAGCUGGAAUGAUAUCAAUCAUUCCAAGCUUGGAUUGCAGAAUAUUGAAAGGACCAGGUUGAAGAGACUUGGUAAAGAUAUCCGCAACCUGCUCCUUAGAAGUAACCGGCAUAAGAUGAACAACUCCAGCUAAAACUUUCUCACGUACAACAUGACAGUCAAUCUCUAUGUGUUUGGUGCGCUCAUGAAACACAGGAUUGGCACGCGAUAUGCAUGGCAGAUUUGUUAUCACAGUAAAGGAUGAUAGGUACUGAGUGAUUGAUGUGAAAAUCAUGGAGAAGAUUGAGAAGCCAAACCCCUUCACAAGUAGCUUGAGCAAGGGCACGAUACUCAGCUUCAGAUGAAGAUCUGGAAAUGACAGGCUGCUUCUUGCUCUUCCAGCUAAUGAGUGAAGUGCCAAGAAAAUAACAAAACCAGAAGUGGAUCUUCGUGUAUCAGGACAAGCCCCCCAAUCGGAAUCUGAAAAACCUUUGAGACAUAAAGAUGUAUUAGAUUGGAAAAUGAGUCCUUGGCCUGGACUGUUUUUGAGGUACUCAAAACAUGUAGACCAGCUAACAUAUGUUUAUCUCUGGAGCAGCAAAGAAUUGACUUAGUUUGCUGACAGCAUAUGAAAUUUCAGGUUGGGUAUGUGUGAGAUACAAUAAACGACCAAUAAACCUUCUGUAGGGAGUAGGAUCAGAGAGAGUGUGCCGUAUGUUUUGUGGAGUUGAAGAUGAGGUUGCAUAGGGGUGGAACACAGUUGGCACCAAAGAAGACCAGCAUCAGAAAUCAAAUCAAGAGUGUAUUUUCUUUGACAUAAAGAAAAAUACCAUGUGUGCUGCGAGCCACUUCAAAGCCUAGGAAGUAUUUGAGAAUUCCCAAGUCUUUGAUACUGAAUUUAGCAUCCAAACAAGUUUUGAUUUGCAAAAUUUCAUGAAGAUCAGUGCCUCCAACUACUAGAUCAUCAACAUAAACCAGAAUCAUAGUGAAACUGAGAGGAAGUCUUAGUGAAAAGGGAAUAAUCUGCUUUGGAUUGGAUAUAACCUGAUGUAAUAAGGGUGUCAGUGAGUUUUGUAUUCCAUUGUUUGCUGGUCUGCUUCAGACCAUAAAGAGAUCUUUGCAAUUUGCAACAAGAUUUGGUGUAGACAAAAUGAGACCAGGUGGAGGCUUCAUGUAAACUUCCUCAUUAAGAUCACCAUGGAGGAAGGUUGUGUUAACAUCAAGUUGGAACAGGGGCCAAUUGUGAACAGCAGCAACAGCUAAGCAAACUCUAACAGUGGUCAUUUAACAACUGGACUGAAAGUGUCAGUAUAAUCUAAUCCUUCAUUUGAGUAACCCCUUGCUGCAACAAGUCGUGCCUUGUAUCUCUCAAUGGUACCAAUCAGCAUGCAUUUUUACUUUUAAAAACCACCUGCAGCCAAUGGCUUUUUCUGUUUGAAGGUAAGGGCACAAGAUCCCAUGUUUUAGUUUUAACCAGAGCCUGCAAUUCAGUAUUGAUAGCAGUUCUCCAAUUCUCAUCACAAAUAGCAUGCCUCAUAAGAUGUAGGUUCAGGAUUGGCAGACAAGUUUAACAUGUAAUGUUUAUGAGGAGAUGAAAAAGAAUCGUAGGAAAUAGCCAGAUGAAAUAGGAUACUUACAGGUGGAUGAAGAUGAAGCCACAGCUGAGUCAGGAUGGUGAAGCAGAUUACAAUGAUAAUCUUUUAGGUAAUUAGGAGGAUGAACUUGUCUAUGUGAUCUUCUUACAGGUAUGGGCUCACAGUUACCAGAAUGAAGAUGAUUGGUUUCAUUGGUAGGAGAAUGUGUAGGAUGGUUGGUUUCAUUGGAAUUGGAAUCUGCAGAAUGAGAAUUAUACUCAGUAUGACCAUUGUCAACUGAAUGAUUAAAAUGUAGGAUUGGGAACUGGAUUAGGCAGAACACUCAUCAAAACAAAUCAUUCAGAUGUGUAUUAGUGUGUGCAGAAGAUGAAGGCAUGGAAGGAUUUAUGUUUAUAUGGAAAGUGAGCUAAAAAAAAACAACAUCUCUAGAAUAAACAGUUCCUUAUUAUGCAGAUCAACCAAAAGGUGUCCUUUCACACCAGGUUUAUGACCUAGAUUAAAUGCACUUUCUAGAUCUUGAAUCUAAUUUCUUUCUAUUGGAUUUUAGAGUGGUUUGCAUAGCACAAAGAACCAAAACUUUCAGGUUGGUCAUGUCGGGUAAAGUGUUGUAGCAGAAUUUGGUAGGGUGACUUUGUGUUUUAAGAAAAGUGUGGGAAGUCUAUUUAUGAUAUGCACAGCAUAACUCACUGCAUGAGCCCAAAUAAGGGAGGCAAAUGAGCUUGGAAUAAAAAAGCUCUAGUGAUGCCCAAGAUAUGUUGAUGUUUUCAACAAUACCAUUUUGUUGAGGUGUAGCACACAAGAGUUUGGUGAAUGAUACCGGAUUGAUUGUAAAAAAUCAGGCAUCAAAAACUCAUUGCCAUUAUUUGAUCUAAUGCACUUGACAUGACAGUUGAAUUGAGUUUUAACCAAUUCUACAAAAAGACCUUGACAUGAGAAGUGGUUUCAGAUUUUAGUCUCAUAAGAUACAGCCAUGUAAUCUGCUCAUCAUCAACUAUAGUUAAAAAAUACCUAUAGGCCCAUCAUGGAUGGUAUGGCCAAUGGACCCAAAUAUCCAUAAUGUAAUAUGGUCAAAGUGAAUGUGAGAAGCAUGAGAACUAGGAGAAAAGGCAGUCUUUUUGUUUUGCAUAAAAAACAUAACAUCACAAGGCAAUUGAUAUUGACAGGUGAUGAAAGGAAAUCUUUAUUGAGUUCAAUCAAUUUGGAAUUAGAAGCAUGUCCUAAUCUGAUAUGCCAUAGGGCUACAUUCAGGAUAAUGACUUAUUUGAAUUAUUAACAGAAGAAUUGGUACAGAUGUAUGGGAGGUGUUUUAGGUAAUGUAACUGAAGGAGAGGUCAAGAAAUAUAAUCACCAUGUAACUCAGUUGUGCCAAUCAUCUUCAUAGAAAAGAAAACUUGUCCUGUAGCAGACAUGAAUAUGAUCAAAAACAAGUUGACAGUUGAGUAAUUGGGUUAAUUUUGUGACAGAAAUGAGAUAAAGGCAAUUGGUAAAUAAAGAACAUCAAGUAAUGUAAAAGUUGCUGUUAAACUGAAUAGUGCCUGAAAAAUUAGUGUAACAAGACUGCCAUUUGGGAGUUUGAGGGUAAUGGGCUUAAUUUGCUUAAGACACUGAAAAUAUUCACGAGUAAAAACAAACAGUGAUUAGUGGCUCUGUAUCUAAAAUGAAUGAUGCAGCAUGAAAAUGAAUUUGGGAAGCGUACAAAUAGUACCUGAUUCAAGGUUAU
rnacentral:lncRNA from 1 species